GGAGAAGGAGGAACAGAGCGUGCAACUGCCUGGUGGAUAUUCAGGUGGCUGGAGCAGGCUCUGCGUGCCCACAUGGACUUUACUGACAUGUUACUCCUUGGCCCAUUUUGAAAUGACCUCUCCAUUGGCAUGACCAGCUACUCCCCAGCUGGCCAAGCCCGGCCCACCCUGAUUUUGUCCUACCCUGAGUUUCAAAUGUCUCCCAGUCACAGCUCUUCCUGUGGCCCACAUCCUGCACUUCCUCCUGGCCAUUCCAGAGCCCAGACCCUGGUGGGCUCAGCAGGUGCUUCCCAGGUACCAUCUGAAGGGGUGGGGAGAGCCACUCUCUCAGGAAGGAGGUUCGCCUUCUCCUGCCAAAAUUCUCUUGGUUCUCAGAUGCGCAGCUGUGCUUUUUGGCUUUGAGAUUCCUGGGGCUAGAAACUCCCAACCAGAGAGUCUCAGUGGUGGUGCUAGGGUCGGGGGAGAGGAGAGCCUUUCUGAAGGACGUGUCCUUUCCUGGGUCAGGCAAAGGUACUUGUCAAAACCAGAUCUCCAUCCCAUUGAAUGACAAACCAGUGCCCACUUCCCUGGAAGGAGUUUUUCUCCAAUUAACUUAAGUCAUGUACCUGCCUGUCUGACUGACAGGCCCCAGGGCCCUGGGAGAAGACAAGACAUCCCAUCACUCGGCGGGGACACCUCAAACAUUUGCUCUGUUAAUUGGCUGCUGCCUUAUUAAGAGGCGGGUCUCCUGCCGCAGCCUUCAUUACCGAUUUCCAGGAGUAACUAGGCUCCCCCAUGCUCCAGUCACCAAGGCGGUUGAUUAAAUACCCAGAUUCCCAUGUCUUUGAACUCAGCAGCUUGCUGGUCGAGGCGUGCAUUUCUCAGACAAAAGUAUCCUUAGAAAGGAGGCACACUUGGAUCUAAUCAGCAGCCUCUGUGCUCUGCCACUCCUCUCCCUCCAAUUGUGGACUGUUCUUUUGUUCUGAGAAAUCCGACACCUAAAUUCCCCUUUGGUCUUUCUCCCCUUAAGUUUGCAUCUUACAUUGUUUAAGUGUUUAAAUAUAAUUUCAAAUGGAUAUUGUUUAAAUUAUUAAGCUUUUGGAAGAAAAGAAGACUGCUGGGAAAAAUGUGAUUGGCAGAAAGCACCUCUGAGGCUGGUGGAUGAGGAGAGGUAAAGACUUCUGGAAUCAAGCUGCUUCCCCACCCUCCUGCGGAACCCCUGCGUACUGGAGGUGGAGGUUGCAACUCAGGAAAGGAAGGUGCAAUGACCCUAGAGUGCAACACUCCAUCCAUCUAUAGUCCAGGACAGGGACUGAGCCACAGGGUAGGAGAAUCACACUCUGACUUCGGCAUCCAAGCCACAUUUCCUUUCUGAGUCAGUGGCCCGCUUUCCAGACGGGGUGGUGACAGGGUGCGCCCUGACGAAGGGCUGACACUUUCCCAGGACUGUUCAGGGCCCAGCCCAAAUGGGAAACUUGGCUCUUGUCAGUUGAAGGAUUUCACUCAGGCCUCGCUGAGAUGACUUGUACUUCUGCUUAGACGAGGACUGGCUAAGGAUGGAGGAAGGCAGUUAGAACCAUCCUGGGGUGGGCAGGUGUGAUGGUUAAUUUUCACAAUCAGUGCCUGGUCCUGCUGACUGUAUUUUUCCUAAGUGAUUCUCCGGUCUGCCCACUCCCCCGAUUCAGGCUUCUGUGUGGCUUUGUUGAAUGUCCUCGAUGCCUCCUGCUGGGCCCCUGCCUCCAGGGUCACUCUGUCCCAAGGGCAACACAGGUGAUCUUUCUGAACACCAGGCCUAUGGUUUAAAACCCUAGAAUGCUGCCUCCCCUUGCAUCCAGGAGAAAGUCCACACUCCUUAACCUGAUGGUCCAGGUCUGGCCCCAGCUUGGCCAAAGCUCCUUUCCAGGCUUGCCCUUGCUGCUUUCUCUCUGCCCUAAACUCUAUAUUUGGAGAAACACCAAUUGGCUUGUGGCUCCCCAUGCUGGCUUCAUAUCCUAACCCUUGGCCUAGAAGACUCCCCUCCUCUUUCUCUAACCCAUUUCUCAUCAUUUAGUACUCAGUCCAGAUGGCACCCCCUUUUGGAGGCCUCCCUGUUCCUUCCAUAACAGACUGGACGUGCUCCGUUGUCGCGCUCCCCACCCUGGUUUACAAUAGGCAGGGGGUGUGUGUCCCCUCUCAGCUCCCCAUGGGCAGGGCCCUCUCACACUCCUCUUGGACCCCCGCCACCGGGCCCUCGACUAGGCCUGGUACACAGCAGGCACUCAGCACUGUUUGUUGAAGCAAUGAAAUGCGGAAUUGCAGAAUCCUGCCAAGGUAUGAAUGGCCCAGAUGCAAGAAUCACAGAUCUUUCUAUGAAAUCGUGAAACACAAGAAUGAAACUUGAUCGGUGCAGUGUUGAAAACAGGGACCACUACUUUACUAUCCUCAGGAGUGUGAACAAACAGGCAGGAUGAGGUUUAGAGCACAUGCCGGUACCACUCAUGGGUUCCUGUGUGAUGUACACUAGAGAAGCUCUAUCCCUGAUCACACCCACCCUGAAUUCCUUUUCCAAGACUGCCAUCUCGGGCUGCCCCACAGGCUCCUGGUCCCCCUAGAACCCAACAUGGGCUGCACAGAGGCUGAGUCCACUGGCAGCAAAUCUAGUUAGCAGCUCGGUCCUGAGCCCACCCUGUCCACUGGCUCCUCUGAGGUGAGCCAUACAUAGUCCCCGGCUUUUUGCUAAUUUUGAAAAAGGGAGAGACUGCGCAGGUGCUCACUGCAAGGCCUCCUUCCUUUUUUAAUUACAGGAAUCAUUAUAUACAUAGACAGUGUGGCAUAGUAGAAGGAACAAAAACAACAAAGAAACAAAGAUUUUCAAAAACCAUCACAAUUUCUUUGUCGAGUCAAGAGUGGCUAACAACACGGGCACAUGUCAGCUACACGUGCAGAAAGUUGCCUUCAGAACACAAGUGAGAGUGCAGGCACAAUCUGCCCAGUUGCUGAAUGAUAAUCACUAUGUGUGUGUGUUUUUUUUUUAAAUUAUACAUGUAAGAGAUGUGGCAGAGCAGACAGAGCAAAGACAACAUUUAACAUUUCAAAUCAGUCUUUAUUGCAGCUCUCCUCCUCACCGGUUGAGUGGUGUUGGGCAAGUCAUUAAACCUCUGUGAGCCUCAGUUUCCUCACCUGCCAAGUUAGGGGUAAUAACAGUCCUUACCCUGAAGGGCUGUCACAGAAUUAAAGAACAGAAAGUGCACAGAAUGCUCAGCCUUGGACCUGGCAUGUCACAUGGGCUCUUUGAGUUAGUUGUUACCCUGCCCUCCAUUCUCAUCCAAUCUCUGGUUUUUUAAAAAGGGUAGGAUGUGUAAAAUCACAAUCAUUUGCUGCAAAGCUUGAUGAUUAUAAUCACAGCCAGCAGAGUCUCCGUGGGGCUAUAGCCACAGGAAUCCUGGUGGUGCCUUCACUCAAGUUCUUUCCUUCCCAGCCUUCUAGACAGGCACGCUCAACUGUGCAUCUUGUUUUGUGCCAACUGUUUCUCUAAAUUAGUAUAUGGGCUUCUGUCAGCAUGUUUUACAGAGAGAAACCACAUUUCUCAGCAGUGGACUUUGCCUUCCUUUUGUAUAGAUUCCCCAUUUCUUCAGGUCUUCCUGAUACCCACAGUUGUUUACCCUGAGAACCACAAAAGUUUUUAAUAUGGAAAGUUUGUUCCUUUAAAAUUGCUAGGAGAAUGUUUAUUGAGACAAGCCUGGCACAUAAACGAGAUCUUCAUGUCACUGAAAUUUGGCAGGGGGCAGAGGUGGGGACACUGGCGAGAAGGAACCCAGGCAGAAGUGGAGAGACAGAAAGGUGUGACCGAGAAAUAUGGACGUUUUUCUUCCUGUGCAACGAAGCCCUCACCCUGUGUUUCACGUGGCAUUGGCGGGGACUUUCUUCCUUUGUAAUGUGCUCACUGGGGUUGUCACGUCACAUAGCCACGUGGAGACAGCCACUGAAGUUCAAAGACAAGAUGGGUGUAAAUGUGAUUCAUUUCAUUAAAACAACUGGAUAUACAAUAUUUGAUGUCUGCGGUAACUCUAACUUCUCCUCAUUUCCCUUUAGGGGAGUGAGAGUUUUUAGGUACCUGCUGUCUGAUCAGUUGCAAGUGCCAAGUCUGGUGGAGGAGGAAGGAAUGCAGCCAUAACAUCAGCAAAGCUGCAUGAAGUCUUUCCCUCUGCUGCUGCCCCUGCCCUGUACCUGGUUGUUCAUGUCCCACCCACCCACUCUUCCAGGUUCAGGUCAAGCCCCACUCCCUGACAAAUAUCUCUCCUAAUCAUGGGAGUGGCCACUGACACACACUGAAAGGGGAUGGGCAGGUGCCAGUACUGGUGCCGUCAUUUACAAGUCCAGUAACUGGGAAAGUUAUCUGGCUUCUCUUUGCCUCUCAGUAAACACCAACUAGGAAAAGGAGUGCAUGAGAUGACGUCCAUACAGCCCCUGGCGGUGGGCUGGCAGCCUGGCACAUUCUCCGUGAAUGAGAAUGUGUAUUUCCCAUGAUCCUAUCCACCCCACCCUGAUGGCCAUUCCUUCUUUUCUGCAAGGCUGUGUCCCAUGGUGGCCCUUUAUUGCCUUGGGGGUUGAACUUCUACCUCUAUCUCUUAACAGGGCAGCUCUUCUACCUUCUUUGCCUUUUCUUGGCAACAGAAUUUGGCUCUUAUGCAUUUCUCUCUAAUUGGUUAAUCACAUUGUAUUGACUGCAACAUUAGAACCAAUAGUUCAGGCCUUCCCAAUUGUCCUGACCAUGUCACUGGCAUACUGACACACGCCCAUGAACAAAGGCUUCAUCACACAAGGAAGACACACUAUGACCCGCUGCGGUUUUCUUCCACUUCAGUUGUAGCCCUGCAUGCUUUCUGGGGAGCACACUCUAGCCACCGAGAUGAAGGCACGGGGAGGCCCGACCGUAGGUCGAACACGUCAGUCAGUGGCUGAUCCUUCCCAUGGUCUCUGGAUACACCAGUGAAGGCAGGAGGUGAAGUCUCCCAGAUCACCUGGGAACAGCCAUGGACACUUGUCUGGGGCUGCAUGAGACAGUGUCUGAGACUCACCUUUGACACAAAUGUAACUGAAGGGGAGAAGCUGCCCCUGGGCAAGCCGGUCAGCUGAAACCACUCAAGAGCCCCCAGUGCAACACCAGGUCUGCAGCUUCACUUCUGAGGCCUGCGAGACAACGAACCCAGCGGGAGGAAUGAACAACUCCAGACGCGCCGCCUUAAGAGCUGUAACACUCACCGCGA
rnacentral:lncRNA from 1 species